UGCCGGAACCCUUCGAACACCUUCUGCAGAGGAUCGCCCGCAGACCCAAACCUCAGCAGUUCUUUGGAUUGAUGGGCAAGCGGGAUGCUGAUUCCUCCACUGAAAAGCAACUGGCUCUGUUAAAGGCUCUUUAUGGGCACGGCCAGAUCUCCCACAAAAGGCAUAAAACAGAUUCCUUUGUUGGACUAAUGGGCAAAAGAGCUUUAAAUUCUGUGGCUUACGAAAGGGGUGCAAUGCAGAAUUAUGAAAGAAGACGCAAGUAAACCCGCUCCUGUUUACUCGGCUUCAUUCAUGUCAGUGGGCAAUGAAAGGUAAAAGAGGACAUGCACAAGAAGGAAGAAUUAUUUAACACUUGUUUGGGGUUGAAAACUCAAAAAAGGUGUUUAUUUUUCAUAUUGUGCCAAUACGUGUUGUAAAUGUGUGAUAAUUGUCAUAUAACGACUCCCUCAGAAGUAGAAAUCAGUGGUCACUUCUCAACAAAGCACAGUGUUCAGUUGUAAAUUUGAAAUUGCAAAACCCUGUCAAUGAUAUAGUUCCAAGAAGGAAGGCAUCGCUUGGAAGCAUCAUGGCAGCCACUGCAGAAAGGAAGUCCUGGCGGUCGUGUGCAUCUUCCGUCUGUUUUCAUGGUGAAAAUGUACUGAGAUUUUGGUACCAAACUAUAUUUCUAUCCCUUGAAGCAUGUUUCAUGUUUUGUGACUAGAUAGAGAUGUUUUUAAAAGUUUCAAUGUGAUUCUAAGAUCUCCAUUUCAUUGUGAAAUGUGUUGUGAUAGCUAACAUUUUAAAUAAAAGAAAAUAUAUCUUGAA